rnacentral:rRNA from 1 species
UGAGGAAUUUUGCGCAAUGGGAGCAAUCCUGACGCAGCAACGCCGCGUGGGUGAUGAAGGCCUUCGGGUCGUAAAGCCCUGUCAGGUGGGAAGAAUGUCCCGGGACUGAACAGGUUUCGGGAGUGACGGUACCACCAGAGGAAGCACCGGCUAACUCCGUGCCAGCAGCCGCGGUAAUACGGAGGGUGCAAGCGUUAUUCGGAAUUACUGGGCGUAAAGCGCGUGUAGGCGGUCCCGAAGGUCUGAGGUGAAAGCCCCGGGCGUAACCCGGGAAGGGCAUUGGAAACUGUGGGACUUGAGUACUGGAGAGGAUGGGGGAAUUCCCGGUGUAGAGGUGAAAUUCGUAGAGAUCGGGAGGAAUAUCAGUGGCGAAGGCGCCCAUCUGGACGGUAACUGACGCUGAGACGCGAAAGCGUGGGGAGCAAACA